GAAAGCAUUUUAAUGGUCUGACCUGUACAAGUUACAAUGCACAGAGAGAAAAUAAAUCAUUUUAAAAGGGCCAAAUAAUAUCCAAAGAAUGAAAGUUUGAACAACGGAAGGUCCAAGUUAUCAUUUCAACGAAUUCAUUCAUCAUUGAAGCAGGAAACACAACUGAAGAAAAAACAUGAAUGAAUGAUGAGAAUGGCCAUCUGUUGACUCCAAAGAAAUCAGUUCAAGACAUUACGGAUUGUUUCAAUGCAAACAACAGAUUGGUUUCAUCACGUGAACAAAUCCAAACAUAGUUAGGAUGAUCAACAUAUCAUCUCAGAUAUGGAUGUGUGUGCAUGCCAAGAAGAUACUCAGAGGCAGGGAGAAAGAAAAGGUUCGAAGUUGAACAUGAAAAAUAGAAUGACUCAGUUAAGUAUAAUGUCACUCACACACCCUCACACAUUAGGGAGAGAGAGAGAGAGAGCUGUGGUUUUGGGAAGAGAGGGGAAUAUAAGCCUUU
rnacentral:misc_RNA from 1 species